rnacentral:rRNA from 1 species
GUGGGGAAUAUUGGGCAAUGGGGGAAACCCUGACCCAGCAACGCCGCGUGAGGGAAGAAGGUUUUCGGAUUGUAAACCUCUGUCCUUGGUGAAGAAGAAAGUGACGGUAGCCAAGGAGGAAGCCCCGGCUAACUACGUGCCAGCAGCCGCGGUAAUACGUAGGGGGCGAGCGUUGUCCGGAAUGACUGGGCGUAAAGGGCGUGUAGGCGGCCGAUUAAGUCCGGGGUGAAAGUCCUGCUUUCAAGGUGGGAAUUGCUUUGGAAGCUGGUUGGCUUGAGUGCGGAAGAGGUAAGUGGAAUUCCCAGUGUAGCGGUGAAAUGCGUAGAGAUUGGGAGGAACACCAGUGGCGAAGGCGACUUACUGGGCCGUGACUGACGCUGAGGCGCGAAAGCGUGGGGAGCCAACAGGAUUAGAAACCCGUGUAGUCC